ensembl:lncRNA
GAAUCUGCCUGCAAUGCAGGAAACAUGGGUUCAGUCCCUGGGUUGGGAAGAUCCCCUGGAGAAGGGAAAGACUAUCCACUCCAGUAUUCUGGCCUGGAGACUUCCAUGGACUACAGUCCAUGGGGUCUCAAAGAGUCAGACACGAGUGAGCAAUUUUCACUUUAAAAUGGUAGGUUGUACCAAUUCCAUGGUAUUUAAACAAAUAUGAAGAUUUGGGGCAUGUUUUAAAAUGUUAAAGGUCAACAAAAUGACAAUAUAAAUAAGUUGCUGUACUUUGUUUAUAUUGGAAAGAAAAACCAUGAUUAAUAGUAAACUGAUUAAAAUACAUGAGUAGGACACAAAUGGACUUAUUUAUGAAGCAGAAACAGACUCACAGACACAGAAAACAAACUUAGGGUCACCAAAGCAGAAAGCAGAUAGGCGAGGGAUAAAUUAGGAGCUGCGAUUAGCAGACACGAACUAGCAUAUAAAAAACAGAUAAACAACAAGGUCAUACUGUAUAGCAUGGGGAACUGUAUGCAAUAUCCUACAAUAAACUAUAAUGAAAACGAAUAUAUAUAUAUAUAUAUAUAUAUAUAUAUAUAUAUAUAUAAAAUUGACUCACUUUGCUGUAUACCAGAAGCUAACACUAUAAGUAAGCUAUACUUCAAUAAGUUUUUUUUUUUUUUUAAUGACUAGGCAUUUCUACAAUGUUAAGAUGUAAAUACAUUUCCAUUCCUUGGCAGUGACCAACACAUAUAAAGGAAACUACAUUUGUAGUUUAAGUUAAUCAUGUGAUAUUAUAAAUGGGAUCCUAAUUAACUUUUUAAAACUGAUCUUCCCCUUAAGGUUCAAGGCCACAGAAAAAUCACAAUCUUUGUCACACUUUGGAGAGGUAAAAGCUUUACUUUGUAAAAAGAAAGUUAAUAGUGUCUGUACUUGAACUGUGUUCUCCUAUCUGUCAAUUGAUUGACAAAAGAACUACCCAUCCAUGGUUCACCUCCCACUUCCUCUUAGAGGCCCACAAGGAGGCAUAAGGUAGAGAAAAUGCAUCAUUGUGCUCUACAAAUAACAUCAGUUCAUUGUGUUUAAUUCAAAUAUCACUGUCUCUCAUUUAGCAGCCUGCUAUAUGUUUUCAAAAAAAAUAUUACUUCACAAGUCCCUCAUUGUACAAUUCUGCAAGAAUGUCAUUCAUUAAUUUCUUCCUAUCUUUUAACAAAAUAUUUUUUCUCUUUUUGAUCUUGUAUUACUAAAAUUAUAUUCCCAAUGAAGAACUCUUAUAGGCUAGUUAUAGAGGGCAAACAUUUUAAUUAAAAUGAAAUUUUAAAAAUAAAUAAUAUCAGUAAUAAUCAUGCACUAUAGAAAAUGGGCAGUUUGACAUUCCCAUCUCAAUAAACAGAAACAAGACUAAAGUUAUAUACACCUGAUUAGUUAUUGGGUUUCCCUAUAUUAAACAACCUUCAGG